rnacentral:RNase_P_RNA from 2 species
AAUUCUGGGUAAUCGCGGUCGGCUUAUGUCGGCUGAGGAAGGUCCAUGCUCGCACAAGCUGCGAUGCUUGUAGUGUUCGUGCUCGGUGAAAAAAUAAGCUGGGGCACCGAUUUUUAAUCGGUGACGGCGGGAAAAACGGCUAAGGCUUCGGCUAUGCCCGAGUAUUCCUGAAAAGUGCCACAGUGACGAUACUUAUUUGGAAACGAAUAAGUUGGAACGCGGUAAACCCCUCGAGCGGGCAACCCAAACUUUUGGUAGGGGCGCUUCACAUCUGGAAAUGAACUAAAUGUGGGGGGAGAUCCUUGUGAUCUCGAGAUAGAUGAUUACCGCCAUAUCAACAGACACCUGUGCUUUGAUAUGGUACAAAACAUGGCCUACAGGA